CAUAAAGGUAAAACAACUGAAAAAGUGGCCUAGAGAAAUAAUAAUAAAGUCAUGAGCCAACAUUUGCCAAGUGCUCGCUGCAUGCUCGGCACCACAACACAUGCCUACAUGUGUCAUUUAAUGUAAUCCUCACGACAACCCCAGCAGAUAGCCUUAUAAUUCUCAUUUUACAGAGCAGAGUAAGGCACAGACAAGUACAGUUAACAUGCCCAAGGUCCAACAGAAGAAUGGGAAUUUGAACCUAGGUAGUUUAUGAUCCAGGUUGAUUAAAUUCAUUUAACAAUUGCUCAUUUGUCCCUUUAUUUUGCUCAUCUAAACACAGUAUAGCACUCAUUUCACUUAAUUCAACAGAGAGUUUUGCUUCAAGCCUUCUAAAGUGUCAUAAUUACUCAUUGUUAUCACAAAACAUGUAUUUAGAACCAACCACAUGCCAGGCCUCAUACUAGCUGACCAAUAUACACAGUGUUUGGCAAAAGCUAAGGUGAUGGUGUGCCAGUUCUGCUCUCUGCUGUAUCUGUGUCCUGUUUCCUUAUGUCGUUUGUAAUUUUUGAUCACAAGCACAUUUUCAACAAGGUUUGUUUACCAUGGGACCCCCAUGAGGCCUGAACUACAGAAGUGGUUUGGGGUUUGCCUCUGCCAGGUCCCUGGAGGUUUCAUUGGCCUUAGAUUAAUUUUUAUGUUAAACUUCUGUGGUAAAUUGUGUUUCUGGAGAAGACCACAACAAUAGACCCUCUCCCAAUAGCUCUUUUGUAAUGUGAUCUUGCCACUCCUCCAUCAAGAGGUGGAGUUUAUGAUCCCUUCCCCUGAUUCUGAGCUGCCUGUGACUGACUUUGAUUGACAGAAUGUGGCAGAAAUGACACUGCAUCACUUCCAAGACUGGCCUUAUGAGACUCCCAACUUUUGCUUUCACUACUUGGAGAGCUCCCUUUUGGAGGCCAGUCAUCGUGUUAGAAGCAUAACUAACUGGAGACCACUAUGUGGUGGAGAAGCUCAUGCUGUCUACAUAUAGAGGGAAAUGGCAUAUCAAUGAAUUAAACAUGAAAGUGAAGAUUUCUUGGCCCUCUCCAUCUUACUCAGCUCAUUGGAGCCACCAGCUGAAAGCAAGGGAGUGAAUGAGCCCAGCCCCGAGUGGAGCAGAAGGAGCCCAACCAGCGAAGCCCAGCCUGAAUUCCUGACUAACAGACUUAACAGGUGGAUUUUUGGGUUUGCUGAAGAAGAAAAAGAAGGAGAAGGAGAAGGAGAAGAAGAAGAGAAGUGUGAUUAACAAGAAAAAAACUUAUUUGGGGGCUAUGAACACCUUGAAUAUUUAACAGAAUAUCAGCUACUCAUCUGUAACCAUUCACUACAUAGCUAAACUUUUAGUAAUAAUGUAGGUAUUCUCUGGCCAAGAGAAAGAUAGGAUGUGUGUGUGUGUGUGUGUGUGUGUGUGUGUGUGUGUGUGUGUGUGUGUUUAACAGAAGAAAAUGGAAAGAAAAUAAAAUAAAGGAUAUUUUGGAGUCA